rnacentral:rRNA from 1 species
GACGUAGGGCGCGAGCGUUGUCCGGAAUUAUUGGGCGUAAAGAGCUUGUAGGCGGUUUGUCGCGUCUGCUGUGAAAAUCCGGGGCUCAACUCCGGACUUGCAGUGGGUACGGGCAGGCUAGAGUGUGGUAGGGGAGACUGGAAUUUACGGUGUAGCAGUGAAAUGCGUAGAGAUCGUAAGGAAGACCAGUGGCGAAGGCGGGUCUCUGGACAGUUCCUGACACUGAGGAGCGAAAAGCGUGGGGAGCGAACAGG